AACAUCAUUUUAACUCGCUCACACUGGUCCUAACUUUUAACAUUCAGUGGGGAGAGACACUUCACGAGUCUCCUCAGGUUUUGCAGGGCCGGUAAGAAGCGUAGAGAGAAUUCAAGAGCGUUGCUGGGCGCCUGGCGUUGAUUUUCUUCGGAAAAGAUGAGACUCUGGGAAUCAGCUGUUUCUACAUAU
rnacentral:snoRNA from 17 species